AUGGUACAGUUACUCUCCACCACUGCGCUAACAUUUCAUUAUACACAAAAGACAAAGUUCCUACGAGCCAGCGACCAGCAGGAACCAGCCUCUCCUUUUUAUACCAACCUGUUAUGUAACAACGCCUCCAAUUGGCCCGCUUCAAAAUUCCAAAUUCAAUCCGCCUCUCGGAUUGGACGACGCCCCGCCAGAUGGGCGGGGCCUCCUUCCGACCCUGGAGAUUCGUUCUUAUCCGCGCUACAGAGCCUCGCGCCGCCAACCGGGGACCGCGCGCGCGCGUACACGUCUGCCCCGCUGCUGCUGUCGCUGUGCGGACUCCUCCAGCGGCGCGAGCGACGGGACAUGAAUGGAGACCGGAGGUAGUCAGCCUCAGCGGUCAGUGCGCGCGGAGGAGCGCAGCCGACGUCCCGCUCCGUGACCCGCUUUUCAUCUUUAACCCGAAUCUUUGGAACGAGCACGUUGUCUUUUAAAAAAUUUUUUUUUUAUAACGGAACACUAAACUCUUCCGCGGGAAAAUGGACGUAUUUUUUCCGAGUACUUUUUCUGGAUUUGUAUCAGGUAGGUUUUCCUUUUUCUUUUUUGGGUCGCAAUUAAUGUAAACGGCAUCGGCACGGCAACAACCUGUCGUCCCCCCGGGGGGAACACGCUCUUGCCGCCGAAACGGGGGGGGGGGGGGGGGGUUAUAUUUAUGGUACGGUAUUUAUGGUUUAAUUCAUAAUAGCUGUAUGAUCCCCCACACACACCUCAACCGAGAGCUGCGAAUUCCGAGUUUAUUUGACAUGCACGUCCCGUUUUUAAUCCACUCACGUGCGCGAAUAAUAUUACAGCGCUCUAUAUAUAUAUUUAUUUAUUCAUCAAGGGUUGCGGAGAAGAAAAAGCUCGGCCGUCCACCUGCCGUUUUCCACUUUGGAGCCAAAUGCAUCCAUUGGUUCGGUCAAUGAAUGUUUACAAUCUGACAAAUAACCAUAACAUCCCUCUUUGGUUUCCACGUUGAACGAUGCAUGUGUCUUCAGCUCUAAUAUCACCGUGUGAGGGGCAUUAAUCACAGGCACGUUUGGAGAGUUCAAUACCUUAAUAGCUUUCUUCAUUUGGAGUUUGGAGGCUGGUCCAUCAUGAAUUCAAGGACUUGGGAGCUUUCCUGUGACGUUUAGCGGCGUGUUAGUGUUUCACGUGGAUUGCAGGUGAUCUUCUUGCACAUCACGUUGCUGUUGUUUACACCUGGACGAACGGGCUCAUCGGUAAUAACUGUUGUUGUUUGACCUCUCUCACCAA
ensembl:lncRNA